CUUCCUUAACAUGGCGACGCUGCGCAGGCUUCAGGAGGCGCCUCGGCACUUACUGGUCUGUGAGAAAUCCAACUUUGGCCACGAUAAGUCUCGCCAUAAGCAUCUCGUGGAGACGCACUAUCAUAAUUACAGGGUUUCAUUUCUUAUUCCUGAGUGUGGGCUGCUAUCAAAAAAACUAAAAGACCUGGUCAUGGAAAUGGGACCCUAUUACUCUGUGAAGAAGUUACCUCUUCAUGAAUUAAUUACACAUGAAUUCAUCAACACCUUUGUAAAGAAAGGUAAGAGGAAGCAUUUAGUGUCUCAUAGGAACAAACAGAAUGAGAGCUAUGGGAAGACCUCAGGAAAAUAUUGGGGCUCUUCGUGUGCUUGUAAAAGGGCCCGUGGAGGAUAGAUCAUGUGGUCAGCUGCAUGCGUCCCUUCUCUAUCCAUCAGUGUUGUCGUUUUCUUUCCUGUGUCCUCUUUAUGUGAUAGCUAAAUAUCUUACCAAAUUUAAUUAGCCCUUGCAAUAACUCAGUGAAAUAGGUUGAAUCCCUACAGAUGACCAUGAAGAAGUUUUUAAAUUUUAACUUGCUCAAAUGGUUUCUGAAUAUUAACUUAGAACUUUACAUCAAACUUUUGUCCUCUUGCCUC
rnacentral:lncRNA from 1 species